UUGUAAAUACAAAAAGAGAGUCGGACAGAAUUCUUCUCAAAUUCGUUGUCCAACUCCCAACUUGCUUUGCUUGUAGAAUUUCUUUAUGAAAUUUUCUUUAUUAGGGCCAGCUCACAAAGAUGACUAGAACUGAGAAAAGCUUGAUUGAAGCGUUUUAUCUGUUCAGUCAGCUACAGUAAAUUGCAAAAUAGGAUUAUUAUAUUAUUU
rnacentral:ncRNA from 1 species